rnacentral:rRNA from 1 species
AUUUAUGGCCACAUCAUGUUGGAAACAAUGGUUCUUGUCUAAUCAACAUAUUUAAGCAAUGUUGUGCAUAGUUAGUACUUAGUUGGGCAACCCCUGGUAAACCUAAGAGAUAUAAGCA